UACGGCAACAUCACGUUGAAACAUCGGUUCCCAUACGAUCACCGAGGUUAAGCAACGUUGAAUCGGGUCAAUACCUAGAUGGGAGACAAAUGGGGAAUACCAGGUGCUGUAG